GGGACAAGGUUUCCGUAGGUGAACCUGCGGAAGGAUCAUUACCACACCAAUAAACUAUCCACGUGAACGUAUACUUAUAUUGGGUUUGUGUUGCUCCCCCGGGAGCGACUAACCGAAGGUUUCGAAAGGAACCGAUGAACUUUUAAUCCCUUUUACUUAAUGUCUGAACCAAUUUGGCAUACAGAAAUGUGUGCUUACAAUUGACAUACAACUUUCAACAGUGGAUGUCUAGGCUCGCACAUCGAUGAAGAACGCUGCGAACUGCGAUACGUAAUGCGAAUUGCAGAAUUCAGUGAGUCAUCAAAAUUUUGAACGCAUAUUGCACUUCCGGGUUAGUCCUGGGAGUAUGCUUGUAUCAGUGUCCGUUAAUACUAAAUUGUUUCAUGUAUUUGAAGCAGAAUGUGAAGUGUCUUGCUUCGGCAAGUCCUUUUAAAUGAGUAUUACCUGUGCACCCUUGUGGUUUGUACAAUAUAAAGGUAUUGCAAUUUCGACUUUGGCCGUCCGGAGUAAAGAUGCCCGGCUUGGAAGGAGGAAUGGAUCGCGGUAGUUUUGCUUGUGCUUCGGUGCAGGUGAAUCGUGUUAUUGCUUUUUGUUCUUUUGGAAGGGCCCCGUGUUUGAUCGCUGGAUUCAAUUUCGAGUUGUACGUACUGGUGCAUUCCUUGGUGUAUGGAGGCAAAUUGGGAAACAAAUCCAAUUUGGACCUGAUAUCAAGCAAGACUACCCGCUGAACUUAAGCAUAUCAUAAUCGG
rnacentral:rRNA from 1 species